rnacentral:rRNA from 1 species
GGGGGGGGGGGGCGGGGGGGGGGGCGGGGGGGGGGGGGGGGGGGGGGGGGGGCUGGCGCCUGGGGUCAGCGGCGGGCGGGGGGGUACUGCCGAGGAAUCUGCCUGGUAGUGGGGGAUAACGUCCGGGAACGGGCGCUCAUACCGCAUACGUCCUGAGGGCGAAAGUGGGGGAUCUUCGGACCUCACGCUAUCAGAUGAGCCUAGGUGGGAGUAGCUAGUUGGUGGGGUAAAGGCCUCCCAAGGCGACGCUCCGUAACUGGUCUGAGAGGAUGAUCAGUCACACUGGAACUGAGACACGGUCCAGACUCCUACGGGAGGCAGCAGUGGGGAAUAUUGGACAAUGGGCGAAAGCCUGAUCCAGCCAUGCCGCGUGUGUGAAGAAGGUCUUCGGAUUGUAAAGCACUUUAAGUUGGGAGGAAGGGCAGUAAGUUAAUACCUUGCUGUUUUGACGUUACCAACAGAAUAAGCACCGGCUAACUUCGUG